rnacentral:rRNA from 1 species
AAAAGAAUUUAAGUCCAACCUAAAGCAACCACAAUCCCCAUAAAUUCUCCCACUGCUUUAGAGCAACUCAAAUGAGGUACAGCCCAUUUGACUCAGGAUACAACCUUACCUAACGGGUAAAAAUUCAGUAUACAACUUUAAGUAGGCCUAAGAGCAGCCACCUUUUAAAAAGCGUCAAAGCUUAAUCACACCUUAACCAAUUUCAAACUUUAUCUUGACCCCUUUAAUCAUAUUGAGAAUUUCUAUAACAUAUAGAACCUUUUAUGCUAAAACUAGUAACAAGAGGGUAUCCUCUCUUUAAUGCAAGUGUAAGCCAGCAAGGACCCACCACUGGCAACUAACAGACCUAAACUAAAGUAACAACUUCACUAGAAAACCCUACUUUUUUAACUGUUAACCUAACACCAGCGCAUUUCAAGAAAGAUUUAAAAAAAAAGAAGGAACUCGGCAAACACUAGUCCCGCCUGUUUACCAAAAACAUCGCCUCUUGUCCCUAUAAGAGGUCAAGCCUGCCCAGUGACCCUGUUCAACGGCCGCGGUAUUCUAACCGUGCAAAGGUAGCGUAAUCAUUUGUCUUCUAAAUAAAGACCAGUAUGAAAGGCAUUACGAGGACAAGACUGUCUCCUUUCUUCAAUCAGUGAAUCUAAUCUCCCCGUGAAGAAGCGGGG